rnacentral:snoRNA from 1 species
GGCCUCCUGGUACUUACUACAGUCUAUGUUCUUAUACAGGCUGUACAGAAAGAGGAGGCAAAGUAAACCUACCCCAUAUACACCCCCAGCCCAAGCCCUGUGCCCAGUCUGUAUUGUGAAUGGGGAGAUAUGC